rnacentral:rRNA from 1 species
UACGGGGGGUGCGAGCGUUGUCCGGAAUCACUGGGCGUAAAGGGCGCGUAGGUGGUUUGAUAAGGGUGUGGUGAAAGUCCGGGGCUCAACCCCGGAUCUGCCGUGCCGACUGUCAAACUCGAGGACUGUAGAGGCAGACGGAAUUCCGGGUGUAGCGGUGGGAAUGCGUAGAGAUCCGGAGGAAGACCGGUGGCGAAGGCGGUCUGCUGGGCAGUUUCUGACACUGAGGCGCGACAGCGUGGGGAGCAACAGG